rnacentral:lncRNA from 1 species
AUGGACACUUAAUCAUGUAAAAAAGUUAUUACCAUAAGCAGCAGGGGUGUCUUCUAAAUAAAAUGUUUUUAAUGAAUUCUGUAAUGCUUCCAAUUUGCAAAUACAGUUGUAAUUAUCCUAGGGUGAAUUCUAAUUUAGAAGUCUUUCCUGGAACUAAGACUCAAAAUUAAGUCAUUAAAUAAAACUUCACACCUUAUACUCACCAUUUUGAUACUAGAAAUUAAUGAUUAAAAAUUUAGUACACUUAAUUCAUUAGGUUGUAAUAAAGCACCCCAUCUAACAGUGCCAAGCCACUUACACGGUCUUGCAGUAGUCACAUAAUUUAGAGAUCUAUUUAGCAGUUGAGAGGUUUAAAUAUUUCAAUUAAUAACAAGUGUGGAAAGAUAGUACAGGUUUGAUUUUUAUUUGGAGAUGAAAUAUCAGAAACAAUUAAUGUAAUUUCUGAUGUGUCCACAAACUGACACCUCUUUUGCAUCAUAAAUCACAAGUCAAAAAUAUGAGAAAACCAGGUUCUGGGGCCAAGAUGGCUGACUAGAAGCAGCUAGUGUGUGCUGCUCUCGUGGAAAGAAGGAAAAGUAACAAGUAACACUAGCUCUUCAACUAGAACAUCCAGGUGGACACAUUGGGAUUCAUCAAGGAAACAAUGUUACCCACAGAGAACAGAGAAGAGCAAGAUAGGACGACUGCCUACCUGGAACUGGCAUGGAGAUAGAGGAGACCCCUAUACUGUGGGGAAAUGAUGAGUGACUGAGUGAUAGUCUGCAGGGACUCAUACUUCUGCUACAGCCUUUGCAUCCCUGGGCUCAGGACAUUCCCUGUGAUUUCCCAACACAGGAGCCUCCACACCCACAUGAAGUGCUGUGGGGAGUCUGAGCAGACCAAGCCACACAGGCACAAGCAGAGUCGCAGGAGCCUUGGAUUCUCCAGCACCCCAACACCAGUAGCUGCAGUUCUGGCAAUGGGGGAGGCCAGGCUCCUUUGCAGACUCCCAGGAAAGGGCCUGAAUCUACAAGGCUGAGCAAUGAGGGACUGCAGGCCUCACCUCCACUGCAACUCGUAGGGCAGGAUACAGCUCACUGGCCUGGGAUGCUAAUGAGGUCACCCCAACCCUGUUUGAGUUCUUGGGCUGGGAGCAGCUCUCCACUUCCCUGAGAUGGAGGUCCCAGAGGAAGGGGCAGGCUGACAUUUUUGCUGCUCUACAACCCUCGGCCCUGUUGCCCUUAGGUUCAGGAGGAAAUGCAAUAAUAAUUAGGAAGUAACAUUGGCCCCCAGCACAGCACAGCAGUCUUACAGAAAAGCAGCCAGACUGUUUUACACACAGGUCCUAUCUCCACUAAUCUUCACUGGGCAGUGCCUCUCAACCUGGGCUCCCAGCACAAACACCCUAACCAUGCCUGAACACUGCAGUUGGUGGUGGCUCUGCCUUUCUCUAUGGAGGAAAUCCCAGAGACAACCCACAGCUCUCUACCAUUGCAACUGCUGUGGUACCAUCCUUACUACCCCUUGAGCUGGGGAAAGCACAAAGGGCCUGGUUGCUAUGCCAGGAUAUCUAGCAUGCUGCAGCCACCAUAUGGAGAGGAAUUCAGUCUCUAUCCCCUGUGAGUCCCUACCCAGUCUUCAGCAGGUAGGAGCCUCAGCUUGGGACUACAGAACAGCUACCUCACCCACAGCUGACCGUUCCACUGCUAGUGGCUCCGUGUUUCCCUAGGGGAGGGGCACCCAGAAGCAACUAAAAGCCCCUCUGCUACUGCUGCUGCAGUGGUACUGCCCUUGCUGCCCUCGGACUGGGGAAGGAACAAAGACUCUAAGUGCUUUACCCAAAAGUUGUAGUUGCAGUUGCCCUAAGGAGAAGAAGAAGCCAGUCUGCCUCCUCCAAGAGCCUGCCCCAUUUCCUUGGUACCGUGGAUCCCCAGGAUCAGGCCCACAACUCAGCCUCCCCAUCCCAGGCUAAUUGCACCCAUUGGUAGUGGUUCUGCAUUUCUCUGGAGUGGAGAUCCAAGAAACAAGUGAAAGGCCCUCUGCCUCAGCUGCUGCCAAGGUAGCUUCUCCUCUUGCUUACAAGCUGGGGAAGGAAAAUAAAGCCUAAAAAGCUGAGUUCACCCCAGGACAGUGGUGUACAGUUCGGGAUUGCCAAGACAAGAUCUGCAGCCAGCACUCGAGUGGGAGAGGAGCCCACACUUUCCAGGCCCUGAGAGAAAGCAGGCUGCAAUUGUGAGGAAAUACAGAGGAGUCACAUGGCUGAGCAAGAGACUAUGUACAGUUCAUUAUGCUUAAGAACCAUCUACUAGAUCACAGCCCAAACUUCAACAUCAAAAUAUUUUGCUAAUAUACCCCCUUGUGAAACCAAGAAGAAGAACUCAGCAACAACUAAAGACUUUGCACAAAGUCUCAGCCUUCUGAAAACAUCAAGAAAAGAAGUCACCUCACUGUACACUGCAGUUAAAGGACCAUCAGCCCACACGAUAAGAAAGAACCCACACAGAAACUCUGCAAUUCAAAAAGCCACAGUGUUUUCUUUCCCCCAAAUGACUACACUAAUUCCCCAGAAAGGCUUCUUAACCAGGCUGAAAUGGCUGAAAUGACAAAAAUAUAUUUCAGAAUGUGGAUAAGAAUGAAGAUCAUCAAGAUUCAGCAGAAAGUUGAAACCCAAUCCAAGGAAUCUAAAGAUUACAAUAAAAUGAUACAGGAACUAAAAGAUAAAAUGGUUGGUAUAAGAAAGAACCAAACUGACCUGAUAGAGCUGAAAAACACACAACAAGAAUUUCAUAAUGCAAUUGCUAGUAUUAACAACAGAAUAGACCAAGCUGAGGAAAGAAUCUCAGCACUUGAAGACGGGUUCUCCAAACUAACACAGUC